GCGCUGUUGGUGGAGCAGUAACCAUAUUCUAAUCCGAACCCAGUUCUCCAUGUUUAUUGUUGGGUCCUGGGUUCGAGCCCCGGACGGCGCA